CAAUAGCGUAUACUAAUGUUGUUGCAGUUAAAAAGCUCGUAGUUGAACUUCUGGUAGGAGUGUCCCGGCCUUUUUGUUUUUACAAAUUGUAUGCUGUGUGACAUCUCUGGCCAUCCUUCUUCUUUGUUUAAAGAAGAUCUUUCACUGUAAAAAAAUUGGGGUGUUCAAAGCAAAAGUUUCUUUGGAAUAUAUUAGUAUGGGAUGAUAAGAUAGGCUCUAGAUGCUAUUUUGUUGGUUUGCACAUUUAGAGAAUGAUUAACAGGGACAGUUGGGGGUAUUCGUAUUUACAUGUCAGAGGUGAAAUUCUUGGAUUUUGGAAAGACGAACUACUGCGAAAGCAUUUACCAAGGAUGUUUUCAUUAA
rnacentral:rRNA from 1 species